GUCAUCAACCAACCACAAGUCACCGUCAAUUUACAGAGUGGACGAGUUUGGAUCGCGCGGGGGAGGAUCUGGUUCGUGUCUUUUCCCUUCUCACGUCGUGACGCUCCAGAUCAUUACACAGUUACAGGAUGCGGAGAGGGACGCGCGGCACGCGAGUCCUCCCGUUCAGGACGCAGUCCGUCGCUCCGGAGGCGCGAGCUGGUCACGCGCUCGUUCCCGAUUCCCAAAGUCAGAUCCCGCGCGUGCGGCGUAAAUGAGAUGUUUAACCGGAAGUGCUCACUCGCACUCUGUCCUACAAAACCUGUAGACCCACGGGCAGCACGAGCGGCGUGACGGCGGCGGCCAGUGCCACGAGCAGGCUCGAGGUGUGUGAGCAGGAGGCGCCCCUGGCGGUGACGUCACCGGACUCGUCCAGCUGAUGGUUCUAGGAGAGAGGACCACGAGUUGGUUACUUGCAGUCGAAACACCGCUUUUAAAUGGGCUCAAACUUCCCAAAAGAAAAGUGGGACGUUCGAUGAAGCCAUUUUAACGCUUGUGUGAAAAUAUGAUCACAUUUUUCGGCGCGUUGACACGCAGGGACAAAUACAGCAGCUUCCUCAGGCUCUGUAAUUUAGCAGCACGUUUUCCAUAGUUUGAGCUUCUACUGGUUCCUUUUUAAACUGCGUCUUCUUCUGGCUCCCUUUCUGGGAGCUGUUUAUGGCACCACCCACUGUUUAUCGCCACGCGCGGCAGUGCAUGAUAAUGUGCAUCAAUUAAAAUUUCC